rnacentral:rRNA from 1 species
UACAGAGGGGGCCAGCGUUAUUCGGAAUUAUUGGGCGUAAAGGGCGCGUAGGCGGCCAUGCGUGUCUUCCGUGAAAUCCCUCGGCUUAACCGAGGACGUGCGGAAGAAACUGCAAGGCUCGAGUCCGGAAGAGGGGGGCGGAAUUCCCAGUGUAGCGGUGAAAUGCGUAGAUAUUAGGAAGAACACCAGUGGCGAAGGCGGCUCACUGGUCCGGUACUGACGCUGAGGUGCGAAAGCGUGGGGAGCAAACAGG